UGCUACAUAAUUUCAUACACAAAACAGAUCAGUUAUUGAACUCUAUUCUUGAUCAAUGUUAGUCUAAAAGAGUGAUUUCAGCAAAUGAGGCAUUUGCUACAUAGAUUA